rnacentral:piRNA from 1 species
UCCCACAUUGCACUGCCAUGACGCUC